rnacentral:misc_RNA from 1 species
UACAGAGGGUCCAAGCGUUAAUCGGAAUCACUGGGCUUAAAGGGUGCGCAGGCGGAUCCGCAAGUGUCUUGUGAAAUCCCAUGGCUCAACCAUGGAAUUGCUCGGCAGACUGCGGAUCUUGAGCCCGACAGGGGUCGUCGGAACGUUAGGUGGAGCGGUGAAAUGCGUAGAUAUCUAACGGAACGCCAAAGGUGAAGACAGACGACUGGGUCGGCGCUGACGCUCAGGCACGAAAGCGUGGGGAGCAAACGGG